UACGUAGGGUGCAAGCGUUAAUCGGAAUUACUGGGCGUAAAGCGUGCGCAGGCGGCUUUGCAAGACAGAUGUGAAAUCCCCGGGCUCAACCUGGGAACUGCAUUUGUGACUGCAUGGCUAGAGUGCGGCAGAGGGGGAUGGAAUUCCGCGUGUAGCAGUGAAAUGCGUAGAUAUGCGGAGGAACACCGAUGGCGAAGGCAAUCCCCUGGGCCUGCACUGACGCUCAUGCACGAAAGCGUGGGGAGCAAACAGG
rnacentral:rRNA from 1 species